GAUGAACGCUAGCGGCAGGCUUAACACAUGCAAGUCGAGGGGCAGCAUACCCAGCAAUGGGUGAUGGCGACCGGCGGAAGGGUGCGUAACGCGUGAGCAACAUACCCUAUACAGGGGGAUAAGCCAGGGAAACUUGGUCUAAUAUCCCAUAGGAAAUAGAUAAGGCAUCUUGUUUAUUUUAAAGCUUCGGUGGUAUAGGAUUGGCUCGCGUGACAUUAGCUAGAUGGAGGGGUAACGGCCCACCAUGGCAAUGAUGUCUAGGGGUUCUGAGAGGAAGAUCCCCCACACUGGGACUGAGACACGGCCCAGACUCCUACGGGAGGCAGCAGUGAGGAAUAUUGGACAAUGGAUGGAAAUCUGAUCCAGCCAUGCCGCGUGCAGGAAGACGGCCCUAUGGGUUGUAAACUGCUUUUUAUACGGGAGCAAUAAGGUCUAUGCAUAGAUUGAUGAGAGUACCGUAUGAAUAAGCAUCGGCUAACUCCG
rnacentral:rRNA from 1 species